rnacentral:rRNA from 1 species
CAGUAGCCGCGGUAAUACGAAGGGGGCUAGCGUUGUUCGGAAUCACUGGGCGUAAAGAGCACGUAGGCGGAUCUUUAAGUCAGGGGUGAAAUCCCGAGGCUCAACCUCGGAACUGCCUUUGAUACUGGGGAUCUCGAGUCCGGGAGAGGUGAGUGGAACUGCGAGUGUAGAGGUGAAAUUCGUAGAUAUUCGCAAGAACACCAGUGGCGAAGGCGGCUCACUGGCCCGGAACUGACGCUGAGGUGCGAAAGCGUAGGGAGCAAACAGGAUUAGAUACCCCUGUAGUCCCUGUCUCUUAUAC